AAUGAACGCCAGAGAUCAUCAGAGUCAGAAAAAAGAAAUUUAUAUAAAUUACAAUAGAAAACUUAUGCCAGCAGAGUCAAGAUGGUGGCAUGGAGACAGCAGCUGGUGUGAGUUCUGCAAGGAAGCUUCUUUCAUCCUGGGAAUCUCAGCCACCAGGUUCCAGAUGAAAGCAUGAUGCCAACCACACUUCCCUGGACAGACAACCCCACUAAUGUGUCCUGGUGCUCCAGUUCCCCAGAACUCCACCCCUCUAGGGAAGGAGAGAGGCAGACUGGGAGUAUGGAUAGACCUGUCCAUGCCCAUGUUCAGAAGGGAAGCAAUUAUAGAAGCCAGACCUUACACCUUCUGCACCCCACAAUGACCUUGGGUCCAUACUCCCAGAGGGUUAUAGAAUAGGAAAGCUAUCAGGAUAGGAGAUGGAAUAUGGAGUUCUGGUGGUGGGAACUAUGUGUAGUUGUACCCCUUUCAUCCAAUAUUUUGUCAGUGUUUCUAAAGAAACUAUUACACAAACAAGGAGACCCUUCACAGAAUGGGAGCUCUUCACAUGCCAUACAUCAGACACCAAAAUACAUAAAGAGCUCACCAAACUUAGCAACAAAAAAGAAAAUGACUCCAUCCAAAAAUGGGCAGAGGAUAUGAACAGAAUAUUCACUACAAAACAGAUCCAAAAGCCUAACAAACACUUGAAAAAUUGCUCAGGUUACUGAUUUUCAGGGAAAUGCAAAUAAUAACAACACUGAGAUUCCACUGCAUGCCUGUGAGAAUUGCAUACACCAAAAAUGACAGCAGCAACACGUGCUGGAGAGGUUGUGGGGACAAAGGAACCCUUCUGUGCUACUAAUGGGAAUGUAAAUUGGUCCAUUCUCUGUGAUGAGCAGACUGGAGAACUCUCACAAGGAUAGAAAUAGUCCUCCCAUAUGACCCAGUAAUUCCUCUUCUAGUGAUAUAUCCUGAGGGCUCCAUAACACCUAUCCAAAAAGAUUUGUUUAUACCUAUGUUCAUAGCAGCACAAUUCGUAAUACCUAAAACCUGGAAGCAACCCAGAUGCCCAAAAACAAAUGAAUGCCUGAGAAAGCUGUGGCAUAUUUACACAAUAAAAUACUAUUCAGCUAUUAAGAACAAUGAA